CCUUAUACAUAAAAUAUUAAAACAAAGCUAUAGCAUCUAAAAUAUCGAUAAAGAAGCUUGAAAUAAACAAUCGGACACCACUGCGCGCGCAUUGAUUUAGCAGACGAUCUGCGUAAGAACAUACAAAGUAAAUAACAUAUAACAUAGUUCAUUACAACCAUCUAAAUAUUUACAAUAUAUUUGUGUCCGGCAGGGUAUAACCAUAAAAUAUUAAAUGUGUGGUAUUAAAAAUACAAUAUUAGAUCAAUUGUCCAGGGGACGAAUUGGUAUUAAGAGAGAUAAAAUCAACGUUUCAUUCCCCACAAAAUGGCAGACGGCAAAAUCGCCGGUCAGUAAACAAUAUUGCAGUUAAAGUAUUUCCCUAUGUAUACUAGGCAUAUCAGACGUUUAAAUAUGAAUAUUUGGUUACCAGAAAUGAUCCUUAAUACGGGAAUUACAUGAUAUAUAGCAUGAAGAAGGAUCUCAAUGCAGUUUGGUAACAGACAGUGAUAUUUCAAGUUACAUGUGACCAGUAUAACAAAAUAUUUAACUGGAUUGAGCUCUCUGUCUGAGUGUACUUUUAAGGUUCUUUGCACUGAGUUCAGUUUAUUGAUAUGCGUAUACGUUCUGUUUGAAUUUUUAAGAUUUAAGAACAGACCAUCCAUAUCUACAUGUCCAUGAAAUGAAAUGUAAGGUAAAAUGAUUGAAACAUUUUGCAUUAUCUAUCACAAUUGUCAACACAUGGUACUACUGAAGCAAUAAAUGUUUUCUUUAAUUUU